CUUUAUUCUUACGAAACUAUAUGAGGAAAAGCGAAAGGGGAGGAAAAUAAGGGCGAGCAAAACUGGAAGCCUACGAAAAUGGUGGAGCUCACCUCCUUAUCCCCAGGGCCACCACGUCCUUCUCGGCUGACUCCUCGCCGCCGGCCGCCGCCGCCGACACCUCAUGUUCAUACCUCCUCGCGUCGUCGCGGGAGGAUCCUCGGCGCCGCGACCGCCACGCCUGGCGCCGACGACUACCACUCCACCAUCCGCUCCCUCAACUCCCGCGGCCGCCACGUCCCCCGAAAAUCCCUCGGGCAGAACUACACGCUCAACUCCAAGGUGAACGAGGAGCUGGUGGCGGCGGCGGGGGUGGAGGAGGGUGACGUCGUGCUCGAGAUCGGCCCAGGCACCGGCUCGCUCACUUCCGCGCUGCUCCAGGCCGGCGCUACCGUCUUUGCCGUCGAGAAGGACAAGCAUAUGGCUACUCUCGUUAAAGAUAGGUUUGGAUCUACAGAACAGUUGAAGGUCAUUGAAGAAGACAUCACAAAAUUUCACAUCCGUUCCCAUUUUCUUCCUUUCAUGAAGGAGAAAUACGGUGCCACCAAAAAACUUGCAAAGGUUGCAUCAAACUUACCAUUCAAUGUCAGCACCGAAGUUGUCAAACUACUACUCCCAAUGGGGGAUGUUUUCUCUGUCGUGGUGCUUAUGCUUCAGGAUGAAACAGCAGUACGCCUUGCAGAUGCUUCAAUACAAAGUCCAGAGUACCGAUCUAUCAAUGUGUUUGUGGAUUUUUACUCGGAACCUGAAUACAAGUUCAGAGUAGACAGAGAGAAUUUUUUCCCUCGGCCUAAGGUUGAUGGUGCUGUUAUCAGCUUCAAACUAAAGAAUGCGGAGGAGUAUCCGCCAGUUAGUUCCCCAAAAAGCUUCUUUUCAAUGGUGAGUAGUGGGUCAUGGGGUCAUGGUGUGCAGAAACUUGUCCCAAAUCUGAAUUGCUUUCUGUGGUUGAGGGAGAAAGGACGUGAAUGGAAGCAAUUGUUUAUCUUUGGAUAUCGUUACAAGGCCGCUCAUUCUUGGUGGUCUUGGAGUCCCUAAUCUGUAUUUCCAAAGCUGGGCACUGUAAGCUAAAUGGUUGUGGCUGGAGAAAACAGACACUAACAGACCUUGGCAUGGGUUAAAACUGCAUGUACUAAAGCAAGUAAGGAAGUUCUUUCAAUCUUCGGUUGUUACUGUGGUUGGAAAUGAGAACAAGACUUUAUUCUAGUCGGACAGAUGGUUAGACGGCGGCUGCAUCAAGGAAUUUGCUCCUGCUGUUGUUGCUAAAGUCGGUAAAAGUGUUGUUUCCACUAGAACUGCGGCCCAAGCUAUUGGAAACUGGCAAUGGAUCAGUGAAAUCAUGACACCCCUUUCCUGGGUUGGGUUACAACAGUUCUUGCUUUUAUGGGAUGCUGUAAGAAGAGUGGUGUUAACACAUGAAGCUGAUAAACAUAUAUGGCUGCAUACUUCCUCUGGCCAGUUCUCCUCCUAAGUCAUGUUACAAGGCAUUUUUCAUGGGAUCCAUUACUUUUGAGCCUUGGAGGAGGCUGUGGAAGUCUUGGACUCCUCCAAAAUGCAAAUUUUUCCAGUGGCUGGCUAUACGGAAUAAAUGUUGGACAUCAGAUAGAUUGGAAAUUGGAAAGGAGAGGUUUGGAUCACCCAAAAUCUUGUUUAUUAUGUGAUCAAACACAAGAAACCAUCCAAUAUCUAUUGUGUACGUGCGUCUUUGCAAGACAGUUUUGGCAUACCAUCUUUUCGCCCUUGGGGUUUGUUAAUCUCUCUCCGUCUGGAGAUGAGAUCUUCUUUGCCGAUUGGUGGCGAAAGGUGAAUUCCGCUUUCAUGGGGAAGCGCAAGAUGCUUAGGAAAUCUCUUCAGCACAUAUGCUCUUCUUCUGAGAUUGAGGCUGCUCUUGACAACAUUGGCCUUCCAGUUACAGCUAGACCUUCUGAUUUGAUUUUGGAUGAUUUCGUGAGAUUGCACAAUCAUUUAGCGAAAGUAUGACUAAGAAGUGCCUUUCAAAAUGCCUAAGGAAUUGCUUGUUGGCAUGGUGUUCAACAGUUGGAGUAACUUACGCCUGACCGCUGAGAGUUGCUAUGCAGCUACAGGUGCAUUCAGCUCAGCUCCGGGGCGAAGCCAGGAAUUACAUGUAGGGAGGCCGGCCGAAAGAGCCAUCUUGUAAAAAAAUGAUCGCGGUUCAACUGGUUUGGUUACUCGCACUUAGCGUCUGUCUGAGUUAAUACUUGACAAAAAAAAAAAAACAAGCACAGCUCAACUGGUUAGGUUUCUCGUAGUGGUGGUGGUCGUUUGGGUUAAUUCAUCGACUUGACACGGUUGCUCCUAUUUUUUUUUCUAUAUGUAUUCUAGAUAGUGAGGGUUUAUUGUAUUUUGAUCGUAGACGCUAAUCAGAAACUCUACUGAAUGGAUGCCUUCGUUCUCUCUGAGUACAAAGGCCCCAUUGAAAUAUGUAUGAGAAAUAAAGCAAAUUUAGAGGACCGGUAGCAUUUCCUUCU